rnacentral:rRNA from 1 species
CCCUAUCCGUCGCAGGCGUAGGAAAUUUGAGAAGACCUGUCCUUAGUACGAGAGGACCGGGAUGGACGUACCUCUGGUGUACCAGUUGUCCUGCCAAGGGCAUGGCUGGGUAGCUAUGUACGGAAUGGAUAAGCGCUGAAAGCAUCUAAGCGCGAAGCCAACUUCAAGAUAAGAUUUCCCACCGCAAGGGUAAGACCCCAGAAAGACUAUCUGGUUGAUAGGUCGAAGGUGUAAGUGCAGCAAUGUAUUUAGCUUAUCGAUACUAAUAGGUCGAGGACUUGACCAAU